CACGUAGGGGCCAAGCGUUGUCCGGAUUUAUUGGGCGUAAAGAGCGUGUAGGCGGCUAUUUAAGUCCUGCGUGAAAUCCUGCGGCUCAACCGCAGACGGUCGUGGGAAACUGGAUGGCUAGAGUGCGGGAGAGGAGAGUGGAAUUCCCGGUGUAGCGGUGAAAUGCGCAGAUAUCGGGAAGAACACCCGUGGCGAAGGCGGCUCUCUGGAACGCAACUGACGCUGAGACGCGAAAGCGUGGGGAGCAAACAGG
rnacentral:rRNA from 1 species